rnacentral:rRNA from 1 species
UACGAACUGUGCAAACGUUAUUCGGAAUCACUGGGCUUAAAGGGUGCGUAGGCGGCUUAUCAAGUAGGGUGUGAAAGCCCCCGGCUUAACCGGGGAAUUGCGCCCUAAACUGACGAGCUGGAGUGGGACAGGGGUGUGUGGAACUUCCGGUGGAGCGGUGAAAUGUGUUGAUAUCGGAAGGAACGCCGGUGGCGAAAGCGACACACUGGGUCUCAACUGGACGCUGAGGCACGAAAGCCAGGGGAGCGAACGGG